AUUGAACGCUGGCGGCAGGCCUAACACAUGCAAGUCGAGCGGAUGAAGGGAGCUUGCUCCUGGAUUCAGCGGCGGACGGGUGAGUAAUGCCUAGGAAUCUGCCUGGUAGUGGGGGAUAACGUCCGGAAACGGGCGCUAAUACCGCAUACGUCCUGAGGGGGAAAGUGGGGGAUCUUCGGACCUCACGCUAUCAGAUGAGCCUAGGUCGGAUUAGCUAGUCGGUGGGGUAAAGGCCUACCAAGGCGACGAUCCGUAACUGGUCUGAGAGGAUGAUCAGUCACACUGGAACUGAGACACGGUCCAGACUCCUACGGGAGGCAGCAGUGGGGAAUAUUGGACAAUGGGCGAAAGCCUGAUCCAGCCAUGCCGCGUGUGUGAAGAAGGUCUUCGGAUUGUAAAGCACUUUAAGUUGGGAGGAAGGGCAGUAAGUUAAUACCUUGCUGUUUUGACGUUACCAACAGAAUAAGCACCGGCUAACUUCGUG
rnacentral:rRNA from 1 species